AUGCGGCAUGUGGUUCACUUCUACUCUACCCUCCUUUCUGCUAAACCAGACUUGGGGUUUAGGUUGGUGCCGUCCUUCUGGUCUUCCCUCGAACAGGUCUCGAGCGAUGAAAAUGAAAGUCUGUUGAUUCCCCCGUCUGAAAAGGAGAUUUUCGAUGCGAUUCGAUAUGCCAAUCCCAAUGCGGCCUCUGGGCCUGAUGGUUUCUCCAUCCCCUUCUUUAGACAAUGUUGGCCUCAGUUAAAAGGCCUCAUUUUGGCUAUUAUUCAAGGUUUUUGGCUGGGAACUAUUGACAUUUCUAGACUGAAUUACGCGGUGCUUACUCUCAUCCCUAAGAUCAAACGUGCCGACUUGAUCUCCCAAUUUAGGCCCAUUGCUCUAGUCAAUAACUUCGCGAAGAUUCCGGCUAAGGGUCUGGCCACUAGGGUUUCUCUGAUCGCUCACCGUGUCAUUAGUCCUUCCCAAUCCGCUUUUAUAAAGGGGAGAUUCAUACUGGAUGGGGUUCUUUGCUUGCAUGAGAUUGUUCAUGACUUGCGGACCAAGGGCACUCGGGCUGUAAUUCUUAAACUUGACUUUGAAAAGGCUUACGAUUCAGUGAGCUGGAAUUUCCUCCGCCAGGUUCUUCUUGCUAAGGGUUUCGAGGGUGCGGUGGUCCAUCGUUUUAUGCAUCUUGUUACAGGUGGGCACACGGCUGUGGUGGUUAAUGGUCAGACUAAUAACUUCUUUGCUAAUGGUAGGGGCCUAAGGCAAGGAGAUCCGGCGUCCCCUUUGCUUUUUAACUUCAUUGCGGAUGCCCUAUUGUUGGGGAACAUUGCAGAAAAUUAA
rnacentral:rRNA from 1 species